GAUGAACGCUAGCGGGAGGCUUAACACAUGCAAGUCGAGGGGCAUCACGAGGUAGCAAUACUUUGGUGGCGACCGGCGCACGGGUGAGUAACGCGUAUGUAACCUACCCUAUACAGGGGGAUAGCCCGGAGAAAUUCGGAUUAAUACCCCAUAAUAAUAUUUUGAGGCAUCUUAGAAUAUUUAAAGUUUCGGCGGUAUAGGAUGGGCAUGCGUAACAUUAGCUAGUUGGUAGGGUAACGGCCUACCAAGGCUACGAUGUUUAGGGGUCCUGAGAGGGUGAUCCCCCACACUGGUACUGAGACACGGACCAGACUCCUACGGGAGGCUG
rnacentral:rRNA from 1 species